rnacentral:rRNA from 1 species
UACGUAGGUGGCAAGCGUUGUCCGGAUUUACUGGGCGUAAAGCGCGCGCAGGCGGACUGGUCAGUCCGGGGUGAAAUCUCACGGCUCAACCGUGAGCGGUCCCCGGAUACUGCCAGUCUUGAGGUGUCUAGAGGAGAGCGGAAUUCCCGGUGUAGUGGUGGAAUGCGUAGAUAUCGGGAAGAACACCAGUGGCGAAAGCGGCUCUCUGGACACUACUGACGCUGAGGCGCGAAAGCCGGGGGAGCAAAGCAGGG